rnacentral:tRNA from 1 species
GGCACUAUAGCCAAGUGGUUACGGCGACAGAUUCGAAUCAUUUGUCUAAUCUGUUUCACUAUGUGAGCGCAGGUUCAAAUCCUGCUGGUGUCG